rnacentral:rRNA from 1 species
AGCGAACGCUGGCGGCAGGCUUAACACAUGCAAGUCGAACGCCAUCUUCGGAUGGAGUGGCAGACGGGUGAGUAACGCGUGGGAACGUACCUUUUGGUUCGGAAUAUUCUCGGGAAACUGAGAGCAAUACCGAAUAAGCCCUUAGGGGGAAAGAUUUAUUGACAAAAGAUCGGCCCGCGUUCGAUUAGGUAGUUGGUAGGGUAAUGGCCUACCAAGCCUACGAUCUAUAGCUGGUCUGAGAGGAUGAUCAGCCACAUUGGGACUGAGACACGGCCCAAACUCCUACGGGAGGCAGCAGUGGGGAAUAUUGGACAAUGGGCGCAAGCCUGAUCCAGCCAUGCCGCGUGAAUGAUUAAGGCCUUAGGGUUGUAAAAUUCUUUCAACGGGGACGAUAAUGACGGUACCCGUAGAAGAAGCCCCGGCUAACUUCGUGCCAGCCGCCGCGGUAA